UACGAAGGGGGCUAGCGUUGUUCGGAAUUACUGGGCGUAAAGCGCGCGUAGGCGGAUUGUUAAGUCGAGGGUGAAAUCCUGGAGCUCAACUCCAGAACUGCCUCCGAUACUGGCAAUCUCGAGUCCGGAAGAGGUGAGUGGAAUUCCUAGUGUAGAGGUGGAAUUCGUAGAUAUUAGGAAGAACACCAGUGGCGAAGGCGGCUCACUGGUCCGGUACUGACGCUGAGGUGCGAAAGCGUGGGGAGCAAACAGG
rnacentral:rRNA from 1 species